rnacentral:pre_miRNA from 1 species
AAAAAGACAAACCCUAGGUUUCCGUGUCCAACGUUUGACCGUCUGUCUUAUUUGAAAAAAUUAUAAAAAAUUUAAAAAAGACAAGUCACGCAUAAAGUAUUAAUCAUGUUUUAUCAUCUAACAAUAAUGAAAAUACUAAUUAUAAAAAAAUUUCAUAUAAGACGGACAGUCAAACGUUGGACACGGAAACCCAGGGUUUGCUUUUUU